rnacentral:tRNA from 1 species
AGAACUUUAGCUUAAUUAAAGUGCCUGCAUUGCGAGCAGGAGAUGUAGUGUGUUGCAAGUUCU